rnacentral:rRNA from 1 species
CCUACGGGUGGCAGCAGUGGGGAAUAUUGGGCAAUGGAGGAAACUCUGACCCAGCAACGCCGCGUGAAUGAUGAAGGUCUUAGGAUUGUAAAGUUCUUUUUUAAGGGAAGAAGAAAGUGACGGUACUUUAGGAAUAAGCCUCGGAUAACUACGUGCCAGCCGCCGCGGUAAUACGGAGGAGGCAAGCGUUAUGCGGAAUGACUGGGCGUAAGGGGUGCGUAGGUGGUUUGAUAAGUUGGUAGCGUAAUUCCGAGGCUCAACCUCGGCACUACUACCAAAACUGUCGGACUUGAGUGCAGGAGGGGUAGCUGGAAUUCCUAGUGUAGCGGUGGAAUGCGUAGAUAUUAGGAGGAACACCAAUUGCGAAGGCAAGUUACUGGACUGUAACUGACACUGAUGCACGAAAGCGUGGGGAGCAAACAGGAUUAGAUACCCUAGUAGUC